GGUAACAUCAAAUCGUACCCCAAACCGACACAGGUGGUCAGGUAGAGAAUACCAAGGCGCUUGAGAGAACUCGGGUGAAGGAACUAGGCAAAAUGGUGCCGUAACUUCGGGAGAAGGCACGCUGAUAUGUAGGUGAAGCGACUUGCUCGUGGAGCUGAAAUCAGUCGAAGAUACCAGCUGGCUGCAACUGUUUAUUAAAAACACAGCACUGUGCAAACACGAAAGUGGACGUAUACGGUGUGACGCCUGCCCGGUGCCGGAAGGUUAAUUGAUGGG
rnacentral:rRNA from 1 species